AGCCACUAGGUAUGAAAUCAAUUAACUAGCCACUAGGUAUGGAAUCAAUUAUAAACAACACUUUCAAGGCAGGGAACUGAAUUUGAUCAAAGAGCACCAAUGUCUUUACCUUUCCCGACCCAAGCAAAUGAAGCAAGAUUAGCUUAGGAAAUGAAGUCGCAUUCAAAGAAGAAGAUGAUGGCCAUGAAAAUUCAUCCGAUUAAUUCCUCGGAAAAGGGACCUCAGCCGAAUUCUACUAGCGCGGCAAAUACUGGUCCUGACAGGGGGGAGGGGAAUCCCACAAUUGAAAUAUCGGCUAAAUCAAUGCUAAUUAGAUGCGUUCAACCAUUACAAACAAGCUGUCAAGAGAGGCACCAAGCGUUAGACGUCUUAGAUCCUUGACUCACGUAUCUCGAAUUUGGUCAAAGACAGGUAACUGUUUUUCAGCAGCAGCAGGUUAAUCAUAGAAGAAGAUGAAUCUCCUCUUGCAUCACUGAUAAACUUGAGCUCAAGAGAGGCGCUGGUGCAGUGUGUCGAGAUCUUCAUGAAGAUUCCAAGCCUGGACAACUUCAUCAGCUGCGAGUGAAACAAGCUUGCCCAGCAAUCCGCCAGCCAAAUCUGCUACAAUAGCCUCGGCCAUCUUUUCUUGUAUUGAUCACUGGUAUAAUUCUCGAGAUAUAUUUGGUGACAUGAUAGAAGUGUAAUUUGGGCUAUAGCAGUUUCUAAAUCAAGUGGCACUAUAAAUUAGUUGCUGAAUCAACCCUUGUUUCCCAUUUUCAUAAUGGCUAGUUGAUGCAACAUGAGGAGAAUUUUGAUUUA